GUAUAUAUUUGGCAAAAUUAUUCGAGAGCCAUCAUAUCGCUCUAUUCAGGUUUGAAAAGGAAGAGAAGUUAGGAAUCUCGUUUUCUGUAAGGGCGAUAUCCGGCUGUUUGAAACUAAUAGGGAAAUGGCUUCUCUCAAGAAUGUUGUGGUUUUCCUGUGUUUUGGCUUAAUCUUGAACUUUGUGCUGGAACAAUCGACAGCUCAGCAUUUACGUUGGGGAAAACGUAAUGAGCUGACUGGAGAAGAUGGUAUAGACCGGAUGGACGAGAUGAUAAAAGAACGAAGAGCAGAGGAACUGAAUGAUUUGGAAGCAAGUUUCCUACGAAUGUGGAACAGGGCAUAUCUGGCAGGAAAAUAUUCUGCUGAAAGACGAAAAAAUGUUCGAUGAAUAUUACAGAGAAACUUUUGGGCAUAAACUAAAGUACUUUAGAAAAUCUAGUUUUAGAUGUGUUAGAUGUAAUUAAUUUCAUAGUGCUAAACGAUCAAUUAGUGUUAAUUAAGAUUCCAAAGGCUCAUUAAAAACUUGUUAGCAUUUAGGAAAUAGCCUAAUUCUAUAACUCUCAAGUUUAUUGUUAAAGUUGUCAGACACAAUAAA